rnacentral:rRNA from 1 species
GACGAACGCUGGCGGCGUGCUUAACACAUGCCAGUCGAACGGAAAGGCCCUGCUUUUGUGGGGUGCUCGAGUGGCGAACGGGUGAGUAACACGUGAGUAACCUGCCCUUGACUUUGGGAUAACUUCAGGAAACUGGGGCUAAUACCGGAUAGGAGCUCCUGCUGCAUGGUGGGGGUUGGAAAGUUUCGGCGGUUGGGGAUGGACUCGCGGCUUAUUAGCUUGUUGGUGGGGUAGUGGCUUACCAAGGCUUUGACGGGUAGCCGGCCUGAGAGGGUGACCGGCCACAUUGGGACUGAGAUACGGCCCAGACUCCUACGGGAGGCAGCAGUGGGGAAUAUUGCACAAUGGGCGGAAGCCUGAUGCAGCAACGCCGCGUGCGGGAUGACGGCCUUCGGGUUGUAAACCGCUUUCGCCUGUGACGAAGCGUGAGUGACGGUAAUGGGUAAAGAAGCACCGGCUAACUACGUG